CUUAUUCCGGGAAAACAUUAGUUAAGCGUGUAUCAAAAAACAUCAGAAAAAAAAAUUCCUCUCGUCUCUCUCUCUCUCUCUCUCUGUUGAUCGGCUUCUUAAUCAGACGAUGAUAUGUUAGUGGCAUGGUUUCUGCUCAGUUUAUAUGGCAUCUGGUAUUAGAUUGCAGUCAUCAUAAGUGAUAUAAAGAGACGCUCAGACUGAGUACUGAGACAAACAUAGAGAGAUGAUUUUUAACUACAAUGACAUCACAGAUCAUAGGAAAGGAAGACCAAUGAGUUAGUCAACAACAUUUACGAACAACAUACUUUCAAUACGGUUAGUAAUUACUUAUCUAUAAUAACUAAAUCAUAAGUUUAAAGCAAUGUAAAAAUAUUUUUAAUAAUAAAAAACAAUGGCUUAAGUAUAUAUGAUGGGUUAAUACCACGGUUAAUACAACUCUUUUCUUCGAAAUAGUUUAUAACAUUGCAUCAGUCAUCGUCCCAAACCUGAUAUCAUGUCAUUUUAUAUGUGGCGUAUGUUUGAGUUGGACUAUCGGAGGACGAAAUUCAAGUUAUCCAGAUACAAUGGAAGACAACAACCUCGACGCAGACUGAGAAUACGAAAGUGUUUACUUGAAAAAGAAGAUCAUGGACGACAGAGAGAGUUACCAGUGUCGCCAAGCACAGGGUGGUUGAGGAAGAGAAGGAUGAUGGAGAGAAGGAGAAGA